rnacentral:rRNA from 1 species
UACGGGGGGGUAAGCGUUGUUCGGAAUUACUGGGCGUAAAGGGCUCGUAGGCGGCCAACUAAGUCAGACGUGAAAUCCCUCAGCUUAACUGGGGAACUGCGUCUGAUACUGGAUGGCUUGGAUUCGGGAGAGGAAUGCGGAAUUCCAGGUGUAGCGGUGAAAUGACGUAGAUAUCUGGAGGAACACCGGUGGCGAAGGCAGGUCUCUGGGCCAUAACUGACGCUGAGAAGCGAAAGCAUGGGGAGCGAACGAGG